AAUAAGUGCAGCCGUGAAUAUCUGUGCCCAACGUUUGACCGUCCGUCUUAUUUAAAAAAUUGUGAAAAAUUUGAAAAUAUUUAGUCACACAUAAAGUACUAUUCAUGUUUUAUCAUCUAAUAGCAAUAAAAAUACUAAUCAUAAAAAAAUUUCAAAUAAAACGAACAGUCAAACGUUGAACGUAAAUAGUGCAAAACUGCACUUAUU
rnacentral:pre_miRNA from 1 species